rnacentral:rRNA from 1 species
GAUGAACGCUGGCGGCGUGCCUAAUACAUGCAAGUCGAGCGAACAGAUAAGGAGCUUGCUCCUUUGACGUUAGCGGCGGACGGGUGAGUAACACGUGGGUAACCUACCUAUAAGACUGGAAUAACUCCGGGAAACCGGGGCUAAUGCCGGAUAACAUUUAGAACCGCAUGGUUCUAAAGUGAAAGAUGGUUUUGCUAUCUCUUAUAGAUGGACCCGCGCCGUAUUAGCUAGUUGGUAAGGUAACGGCUUACCAAGGCAACGAUACGUAGCCGACCUGAGAGGGUGAUCGGCCACACUGGAACUGAGACACGGUCCAGACUCCUACGGGAGGCAGCAGUAGGGAAUCUUCCGCAAUGGGCGAAAGCCUGACGGAGCAACGCCGCGUGAGUGAUGAAGGUCUUCGGAUCGUAAAACUCUGUUAUUAGGGAAGAACAAAUGUGUAAGUAACUGUGCACGUCUUGACGGUACCUAAUCAGAAAGCCACGGCUAACUACGUG